rnacentral:lncRNA from 1 species
CCUGCAAUAUUGAAAAAAAUAGACCUAUUAUGUAUGUCUAUUUCAUUUGAUGUGUGUUCUCCCAUAUUAAGUAUGUAUGUAUGUAGUAGUAUGGUGUGGUGGCAGUAGCAGAAGUGGUGUUACUGAAAGACACGAAACCAAGAAAUUGUGAAACCCGAUGUUAAGGAUCGUGUGUUAUGUAAUAAUACAAGGGUUCUUGGAACUACGAAAUCUCGAUUACCAACUGCACACUAACAACCACAAGAAAAAUCACAAGUUACACAAAAUUCAGAUUUUAACACACUAUUAGCAGCAUCACCACUCCAUCAUCAAAGAUUUAUCAUAAAUGAAAAAGAACCCUUCACACAACAUUAAUAGAUAGAUGAUAGAUUUGAUUUUGAUUUACUACAUAUUUAGGUAAUGCCUAAUUAAUAUAUGUACAAUGUAGAGCAUUAAUUAUGUAUUCAACUCAAAUCUUGUUUGUUAGAUAACAGACAGAAAGAAUAAUACAUGCUCAGCAUCCAAUUCAAACACAAUAUUUCAGUGUUACUACUUAAUUGAAAGAAAAAAAUAAUUGCCAUCCUUUCGUGCAUCUUUAGCAGGUCAACUGCCCCACCCACUCUCCUAUAAGGGAUUAAUCUAAUAUUUAAAAUAGUCUACAUAUAUUAAUUCGUAAAAAAUGGUAAUGUCUACUCUUCUAACAUAUUAAGUUCAUUUUGAUGCUUUGUGAUGAAGUGCAUUUGAUGACUGUGUCUUGUUUUGCAAAAGAUGUUACAUAUGGGGCAUUUAAAUCCACUCGUCAAGAAGUGUUUGGCUUCAAUAUGACGACGAGAAUCUGUUCGCAUUUUGUACAUUGGAAUUUGGAUCCUUUUCUCGUAAUAAACAGAUCAAUCAGACGAUCUAGAUCUUCGGGAUUACCUAAAAGAAUAAUAACAAGAGAAUGCACAAACUUUUCCUCUUACAAAAGAAUAGCACUACUACUGACUUUCCUACACGUCAUCAUCACCAAAUAAUAAUUAUUACUCAAUAUUUAUAUGUACAGAUCUAUUUAUUUUAAUUAAUUAUAUGCGUUCUAAGGUGAACGAAGUAUAAUUAAAACCCAUAUCAAUAUCAUAUACCUAUCUUGAAUUGGUAUAUGUAUCCAUGAAUAAUUAUUCUAUAAAUGAAUAUUUGAUUUAAGGUUUAUAAUCAGAACUUUUAUGUUCCAUUAUUAAUGAAUGGAUUAUAGAUAAUUAAAAGUUCACAUUUCACAUCAAAAUCCUAUCAAAGUAUUCUAAUGAAGUCAAUCGAAAUCUUCCAAUAUCACUUCAGCAAGACACAUCUACAUAGAUUAGAAGAGUGUUGCUUAAAUAUAAAUCAAGAAUAUAGAGACCUAAUGGAAGUUAAAUAUCAAACCAUAACACUAUGACCGAUCUGAUAUUACUUGCAACUAAGUGUUUCCUCUUAAAUUUACCAACAUAAAAAAUCACUUAUUCCAAAAAAAUCAUUCAAUCACAUUUCCUAUCAUAAAUAUGCUAAUUGAACUCCAAAUACAUAGUAAAACAAGAAUCGAAGCUUUUAACCCCUACUGGAUUAUUCUUAUAACUCAUGACAACUAAAUUCAAUACGAGUACUUAUUUUAUAAAUUGAGUGAAAAAUAUACAUUAUACUACAAAA